rnacentral:rRNA from 1 species
GGGGGACCUUCGGGCCUCUUCCCUAUCGGAUGUGCCCAGAUGGGAUUAGCUAGUAGGUGGGGUAACGGCUCACCUAGGCGACGAUCCCUAGCUGGUCUGAGAGGAUGACCAGCCACACUGGAACUGAGACACGGUCCAGACUCCUACGGGAGGCAGCAGUGGGGAAUAUUGCACAAUGGGCGCAAGCCUGAUGCAGCCAUGCCGCGUGUAUGAAGAAGGCCUUCGGGUUGUAAAGUACUUUCAGCGGGGAGGAAGGGAGUAAAGUUAAUACCUUUGCUCAUUGACGUUACCCGCAGAAGAAGCACCGGCUAACUCCGUGCCAGCAGCCGUUGUAUUAUGGAGGGUGCAAGCGUUAAUCGGAGUGAGGGGGGCGUAACCCGCACGCAGGCGGUUUGUUAAGUCAGAUGUGAAAUCCCCCGGGCUAAAGUUC